rnacentral:tRNA from 1 species
UGGGGUAUAGCUCAGUGGUAAAGCACUUGCCUAGCAUGUGCAAGGCCCUGGGUUCCAUCCCCAGCACCACAA